rnacentral:lncRNA from 1 species
UUUUUUUUGCUCUUUGGAUUCAUUUAUUAAUCCCCUAUCUAUAUAAACUAGUGUUUUGAAAAGUUAAUUACUUUGAAACUGAGAAGCGAACUCCCUUAAUUUCUUAAGUGGUUUGCAACUGGAAAUAGUCUUUUUUAAAACUGAAAUUAAAUUAUGUAUGUUUUUUGUUUUUGUUACAGAUACAGCCUCAAUAUGUAACACUCCUAUACCAUGAAAGAUGCUUCUAUUGUAGAAAGCACAUUAGGAAAAGUUGCAUGUAAGUAUUUGUUCAUAACAAUAUUUCUCAAAAAUAUGUCUACGUUUAUUAGUUAAUAAAACAAUUUUUGCUGGAAACAAUAAACUGAGCUUACAUGUAGGUAUUUGAGGGCACUGAAGUAAGCUUUAUAACAGACAUUGGUCUUAAAUUUUUCUUUCAUUCAGAUUUAUUCAUGUGAAGUAUAUUUUUAUCAGAAUGUAUAGAGAUUGUUAAAAAUAUACCUGUCUCCAAUUUAGGAUUUAACAUAAAACAUCCAUCACAUUAAUUUCCAAAUUGUUUUUGUUACAGAUUCAACUUAAAACAGAUGAUGUUUCAGUCGUAGCAGGUGCAGCAUGGCAGCCAAACAUGUUGAACUGAUUGUUGUGAUGAGACAGUUUAUUGCUUUGGAAAAUCCAAUUAUAUUGUUUAUAGAUUUAGAUAAUAAAAUUCUGUAAUGUUCAUAAUAUCAUAUGAUAAUUUGUUAAGUGCCCUCAAUAUGUCUUCAACGAAAUAUUAACAUGCACAAUUGAGGAUGCACUGUAAAAAAAUCUUCAAUAUUCUUAUUUUUAAAAGUAGGUUCUGAUUGUCAAUUUUAUAAGAUAUGUACAUAUUUACCUGAAUUUAUUUUUAAGGUAAUUGGAACAAUAUGACUAUUAAGAUUGUUUGAAAUUCAUGUUGAGUUUCAAUCAUUUCUGUUCAAAAUAUAUAUAUCACAUUCUUCUGGUUUGCCAGCAACUUCAAUUUUUGAAAUUAGAAAAUGAUGUAUAGCCAAAAGAUCAGUUGAACAAUGGUGUUGGUUGCAGUUAAUACCAGCUCUUUAUAGGAUCUUAAAAUGCCUAAAAUGGAAACAAUGUUUAAAUUUAACAAGUUACCAUAUCUACUGAUGAAGAAAUUAAAAUAUUGUGUAUGUUCCUUUUUUUGUACAAAUGGAUAUCUUUUGAGUAAUCGAUUGGAACACCCAAACAAUAACUUAAUCAUUUGGUUUUUUUCUUGUAUAUCCAUCAUUGUUUUUGUAAGAUAAAAACAAAAAGAAAGUAAUUUUGUUAAAAUUAUUUCUAAUUUUUAUCAACACAAUUAAAAUUCUAUUAAACUAAUAGUUUAGUUCAUGCUCCUUUAAUCUAUAUCUUAAAAGUUUUGUGGUGGGCUAAGCAAAUAUCAAAUAAUCAUUUCAGAAAUACACUUGAUUGCAGCGCUGCAUCUUCACUAACAUUUAACAUAGUUGGUUCUGAGUUACUGAGGUAGUUCCUAUUGGUGUGUUUCUUGUUUUUUCUAUGGAGGAAUCAGUAGUUUCUAUGUCUUCAGGAUAUGGUUUUGUCAUUCAAAGGGAACUCGCAAUCUCGCAAUGUAAUUCUGAAAUGAUAUAUAUUUGAUAUUUUAUUUUCAUUGAAAAAGAAACAAUAUUAAAUUUAUUGCAUGAACAUUUGAACUAUUUAAACUUUUUAAUUCAUAAUUUUUGGAAAUGGAAAAUUCAUAUUGUAACUGACAUAUUUUGGAAAUAGAAUUCAAAUUGUAACUGACACAUUUUGAAAAUUGAAUUCAAAUUGUAACUGACACAUUUUGGAAAUCGAAUUCAAAUUGUAACUGACACAUUUUGGAAAUAGAAUUUAAAUUGUAACUGACAGUUUGGAAAUAGAAUUCAAAUUGUAACUGACACAUUUUGGAAAUAUAAUUCAAAUUGUAACUGACACAUUUUGGAAAUUGAAUUCAAAUUGUAACUGACACAUUUUGGAAAUUGAAUUCAAAUUGUAACUGACACAUUUUGGAAAUAGAAUUCAAAUUGUAACUGACACAUUUUGGAAAUAGAAUUCAAAUUGUAACUGACACAUUUUGGAAAUAGAAUUCAAAUUGUAACUGACACAUUUUGGAAAUAGAAUUCAAAUUGUAACUGACACAUUUUGGAAAUAAAAUUCAAAUUGCAACUGACACAUUUUGAUGGAUGGAAUUUUAAAAAUAAGAACAUUUAUGUACUUAAUUUAAGCACAAGUGAAAACAAUUCCUAAAUAUAAAUUUUUGCUUCAUUUGGUAACAUGGAUGUGCAAAAUCACUGAUGGCUAACAAGGUUAAUUCCCUUAUUGGUUAGAUAAUGAAGUAUAGUCUACUGGACCCUGUAGACAUCCUACUAAAUGUAUUGAUAUAUUAAAUGUUUUUUUUAUAUCUCAAUCAAUAUUUGUACAUGCCUCACACAAAAAGGUGCAAGCAGAGUUGCAUGUACUGGACAGAGUCAGCUAUCAACUUUCUUUUUAUAACAGACCCAUUUCACAAUCAAUAUUUGUACAUGCCUCACACAUAAAGGUGCAAGCAGAGUUGCAUGUACUGGACAUUGUCAGCUAUCAAGUAUUUUUAUAACAAACCCACAGAACUGGUAUCCAGGAAAUUGAAAUGAAUCAACAAAACAUUUAUAUUGUAGAAAUGUAUUUUCCCGCGUUUCGGAGUAUAGCGGGAAAAUGUUGUCUAAAAGGAAUGUUUUAUAAGAACAGUAUGUUUUUGGCGGGUUUUGUUAUGUGUAGUUCUACACGUGGACCAAUCAUUUGGAUUGUGUCAAUAAGUAUUAUUAUGUUAAUAAGGUGAAAGCGGGUUUUUAAUUUUCUUGUGUUUGAAAAUCAUUCUAGCCACAGACGUUCAACACUAUAAAACUUAUAUUGUAUAUUAUUUUGCUGUUUUUUCUUGUGAUGGAGUUUGGCAUCAAUGUCCCGAGGCGUGCCUUGCACUUGCUCCGAACACAGGUUUCCAUAUCAAUUUCUUUAGUAAAGUUUUUGAUGGUUUUUCCUGGGCGGUGAGGUUACGUUAAAGACGGAUAUAUACAUAAAUACAUACAUAGAGAUAUGGGCUCUUAUUGAUUCAGACUAAACUUGUUUCAGAUGUUUAUUCUUUCUGUGUACUCAUUUGGAAUGUAUUUGUAUUUCAUAUAUGUCAUGAUUUAUAAUAUAAAUAUACAUUAAACGCCGGCUCUGUUAGUCUGCACGGCUAAAUGCAUUGCUUUGUGUUUGUUAUUAUUGUAGUGUAGUUAAGACUAAUAUAUUUCUCAUUAUACCUUACUUAUGAUGCAGAUUCAAAGAUGUACUACAGUGACAUAACACUACAAGUUACAAUAUAUUUUGUAUUUUUUGUCAUGAUGCAGAUUUUUGUCAUGUUAUUUUAAACAUGGUGCAUUACUUUUUUAGAGUUUUCUUUAUGUGUUAUGACGUAUGCUAUAUUUGCUAAACUUGUAUGCAUGUUUAUUAUGUUGAUGAAAAUAAAAUAUGAUGUCUAGGUUAUCAGCAAUAUGAAUAUAUUGUUUAUUUUGUUUAAGCCUAUAAAUUAUUUUGAAAGAUUCUUAAAUAAAAUGUAUUUGAAAACCG